rnacentral:lncRNA from 1 species
UAAAAGUUCAAAGUUUUAAUCCAAAUUUAGACAGUGUUGAGAAAACCAAACUUUGGCCAUAGAAACCAUUCCCCUCCCGGGCCCGCAAUGGGGACCAGACCACGCCCCCUGAUGCCCUGAGUGGUCCCAGAUCUCCGGCGGUACCUCCAGACCACGUCCUCGCGCUCCGAUUGGCUGCCGCUUUUGGGCGGAUUAGAAGCUGGA